CUCUGGAGAUUUAGAAUUUCACAGAAUAUUCUGAGUUGGAAGGGACCCACAAGGAUCAUCGAGUCUAACUCUUAACUGAAUGGCUCAUA